AAGUCGUAACAAGGUAACCGUAGGUGAACCUGCGGUUGGAUCAUUAAAAAUCAGAGUCUUGGACUCGAACUAGUCUGUCUUCGGGCAGUCUGGUAAACCCCUGUGAACUGUUGCACUCGUACUGUGGUACUUGUGAAUUUUACUUUAUACUGACUGAAUCAAUGAGAUUAAUUAAAAAACAACUUUUAACAACGGAUCUCUUGGCUCUC
rnacentral:misc_RNA from 1 species